GCACCGGUAGCUCAGAAUGUAGAGCGCGAGCCUGAAGAACUCGAGGUCGGGGCUUCGCCGCCCCUCGGUGCACCA
rnacentral:tRNA from 1 species